GACGAACCGUACGAACGUUAUUCGGAAUCACUGGGCUUAAAGGGUGCGUAGGCUGCGCAGCAAGUUGGGUGUGAAAUCCCUCGGCUUAACCGAGGAACUGCGCCCAAAACUGCUGUGCUCGAGGGAGAUAGAGGUGAGCGGAACUUAGGGUGGAGCGGUGAAAUGCGUUGAUAUCCUAAGGAACACCGGUGGCGAAAGCGGCUCACUGGACACGUAUUGACGCUGAGAUGCGAAAGCGUGGGGAGCAAACAGG
rnacentral:rRNA from 1 species